rnacentral:rRNA from 1 species
GAUGAACGCUGGCGGCGUGCCUAACACAUGCAAGUCGAACGGAACAUACGAGAGAAGAGGAAGCAGCUUGCUGCUGAGACGGAUUUUGUAUGUUUAGUGGCGGACGGGUGAGUAACGCGUGGGUAACCUGCCUCAUACAGGGGGAUAACAGUUAGAAAUGACUGCUAAUACCGCAUAAGCGCACAGGAUCGCAUGAUCUGGUGUGAAAAUCUCCGGAGGUAUGAGAUGGACCCGCGUCUGAUUAGCCAGUUGGUGGGGUAACGGCCUACCAAAGCGAUGAUCAGUAGCCGGCCUGAGAGGGCGACCGGCCACAUUGGGACUGAGACACGGCCCAAACUCCUACGGGAGGCAGCAGUGGGGGAUAUUGCACAAUGGGGGAAACCCUGAUGCAGCGACGCCGCGUGAGUGAAGAAGUAUUUCGGUAUGUAAAGCUCUAUCAGCAGGGAAGAAAAUGACGGUACCUGACUAAGAAGCCCCGGCUAACUACGUG